rnacentral:rRNA from 1 species
UACGUAGGCAGCAAGCGUUGUUCGGAGUUACUGGGCGUAAAGGGGGUGUAGGCGGUUGUUUAAGUUUGGUGUGAAAUCUCCCGGCUCAACUGGGAGGGUGCGCCGAAUACUGAAUGACUUCGAGUGCGGGAGAGGAGAGUGGAAUUCCUGGUGUAGCGGUGAAAUGCGUAGAUAUCAGGAGGAACACCGGUGGUGUAGACGGCUCUCUGGACCGUAACUGACGCUGAGACACGAAAGCGUGGGUAGCAAACAGG